GCGUGGGUCGGCCCACUGCGUACUGGAACCAGUGGGCUGGGGGACACCGCCGCCUCAAUCCCCGCGGGCGGCGGACAGGGCCCGGGAGGCGAACUGCGCCUCCCGGUCCGUG
rnacentral:ncRNA from 1 species